ensembl:lncRNA
UCUCAAUGUGCGUCCCUAAUGGGAAGGGAAUGGUCUUCAGCUGGGAAAUGGAAGAAGGUGAGCCCAAGAAAAUGGCAGAAGUCCCUGGGAAAGCCUAGGCUUAGUCUUCAUGAGCACUGCAACUUCACUUGUUAAAGAUGUGGUGAUCUUGAUGUGUGGUCAUUCAAUAAAGCUCUAGGAAUGGACGAGGAAGAAAGGAGGCAGAGAAGGGAUGCUGAGGGAACUGGACACAGAAUGGGAGCCCCAAUCCCAAAAGCAGGAAGCACUCAGGGUGCUACAGCAGAUCAGCCCUUGGGACACCUCACUCGUCAGCCCUGUCCACCAGGGAGUGUGAAUCUGAGCAGAGCGAAUUAUGUCUGGCCGGACUGUGGGAAGAGGGACAUGUCCUGGCACCAAGACUUCAAGUUCUUCUUCAGAGUGUGACAUACAAGAGAUCAGGGUCGACAGCGAAGACUCAAGGUGACGAGGCAGGAAAGGACCGCUCAGACAUCAGGCUGAAACACACACAUGAUGAGAAGACUUUUCUUAAAACCACCGGGAUGUCAAACUUGUUCGGGGAGAAGUUCGGCCUGAUGAGCACGCCACUCUUGGGUGGGCCACGUGUGACAGGAUGAAAAUCAUGCUGUUCUUGAGAGGAAGAGAAGUGCAACCACUAAAAAGCCAAACCAACAUGCUACUGCAGGGAACUGGCGUGGCUUGGAUGGCCCCCAGAAAGACACAUGAAGCCCUAACACCCGCUAUCUCAGAAUGGGACCUGACUUGGAAAUGCAGCACUGUAGAAGCAAUCAAGUUAAGAAUGAGGUCGUCAGCCAGGAGACCGAGCCGGUGAGGACUCCCAGGCUUGCCCACCAGCCUCCAGCUUGGCCACACAGGCGCCUGCAACAAGAGACACCACCCAACCCCCCACCCCACCCCCGCCUCUUGGCUGUACAGCUACGUGGAUCCACACUACAGAGGCACAGGAGAGCAUAAAGGCCAUUGUUCUGAGGUGCAGAAGUGAACAACAGAGAGAGGGGCUCUCUCAGGCUCCCUGAUGAAAACUGAAGCCCACUGGAAAAAUGAAGAGAAUCUCUGCAAUAAAGGCACACCAGACCACCAAGCUUGGUAAAUUGGAGGGAUCAUCACCUCCCAUCAGAACCUGGACUAUCUUCAGGGGAAGGGCAGCUAGAACCUGCAGUAGAACCUCACAGAGUUCAACCCUGCAGGAGGACAGGGACCUCAACUUGGGACUUGCAGCCAGAAAUCUGCCUGAAUCUCAUGAGUCAGUGACUGGCUUACUGAGACUCAUUGACAUAUCUGCACACUGCUGCCCUCAUUGUCUAUUGUGACAGCAGAGACAUACCCUGAAGGAAGCCCUUCAUUUUUAUCUUUUAUUUGUUAUUUUCAAAAUUACUACUAUGUUUUUUGCUCCUAUUUUUAAUUUUUUUCUUCUUUGCUACUCUUUUAAAAUUUUUAUUUUUCUCUUUUUUCUUUCUUUUUUCUUCUCUCUCUCUCUGCCUUGCUCCUUUGCUGUCCCACAUUGUUCUUCAUCUCCCUUUGUGUUCCUGAUCUGCCCCUAAUUCAUAUUUCUUCUUUAUCUUUCUUUUCUUCUCUUUCCUUCUCUUGCCUGUGCUCUCUGGCCUCACUGCUAACCUUCCCCUAUCCUUCUAUCCCUCCCACCCCAGCUCCUUCUAACUCCCCACCCCAAAGGGUAAAGUUGCUAUAUUGAAGAGUUUAUUCACUAUAAACAUAUGUUGGGUUGGUCCUUGAUUUUGAUUUAAU